rnacentral:lncRNA from 1 species
AUAAUUUUGUCUUGAUUUCACUCAAGUUUGAUAAAAUAAGCAACCUUUAUAUUUACUGAGUGUGUUGAAUUUUUGUUAUGGCUCAAGAAAAUUGAGGGGAAUAGAUAAUAGAAAAUUUUCACACUAGGGACUUAACUUAAAAUAAAUAUAUAUUAUGAUAAAAUUUAUUUAUUUAUUUAUUUUUUAUUAUUAUUUAUUUUUUUUAAAAUAAGGAAGGGAAAUAACAAUUAAAGGGAAAAUAACAUACUUGAAAAGGGAAGGUUGAAAGAACAAGGUUUUCCCCCCACACUUAAAUGAAACAUUGUCCCCAAUGUUUCAAAGAGAACAAAAGAAAUAGAAAAAAGAAAAAGAAACUAAAGUCAAUGCUGCCUGCCGCCUCUUGUUCUUGGACCUGGUGAUCAUUGACGUACUCCU